rnacentral:rRNA from 1 species
GAGUUUGAUCGUGGCUCAGAUUGAACGCUGGCGGCAUGCCUUACACAUGCAAGUCGAACGGCAGCACGGGAGCUUGCUCCUGGUGGCGAGUGGCGAACGGGUGAGUAAUGCAUCGGAACGUAUCCUGGAGUGGGGGAUAACGUAGCGAAAGUUACGCUAAUACCGCAUAUUCUGUGAGCAGGAAAGCGGGGGACCCUCGGGCCUCGCGCUCUUGGAGCGGCCGAUGUCGGAUUAGCUAGUUGGUGAGGUAAAGGCUCACCAAGGCGACGAUCCGUAGCAGGUCUGAGAGGAUGAUCUGCCACACUGGAACUGAGACACGGUCCAGACUCCUACGGGAGGCAGCAGUGGGGAAUUUUGGACAAUGGGGGCAACCCUGAUCCAGCCAUGCCGCGUGAGUGAAGAAGGCCUU